rnacentral:rRNA from 1 species
CCUACGGGAGGCAGCAGUGAGGAAUAUUGGUCAAUGGACGAGAGUCUGAACCAGCCAAGUAGCGUGAAGGAUGACUGCCCUAUGGGUUGUAAACUUCUUUUAUAUGGGAAUAAAAUGUUCCACGUGUGGGAUUUUGUAUGUACCAUAUGAAUAAAGAUCGGCUAACUCCGUGCCAGCAACCGCGGUAAUACGGAGGAUACGAGCGUUAUCCGUAUUUUUUGGGUUUAAAGGGAGCGUAGGGGGAUUGUUAAGGCAGUUGUGAAAGUUUGCGGCUCAACUGUAAAAUUGCAGUUGAAACUGGCAGUCUUGAGUACAGUAGAGGUGGGCGGAAUUCGUGGUGUAGCGGUGAAAUGCUUAGAUAUCACGAAGAACUCCGAUUGCGAAGGCAGCUCACUGGACUGCAACUGACACUGAGGCUCGAAAGUGUGGGUAUCAAACAGGAUUAGAUACCCUGGUAGUC